rnacentral:rRNA from 1 species
ACGAACGCUGGCGGCGUGCUUAACACAUGCCAGUCGCACGGAAAGGCCCUGCUUUUGUGGGGUGCUCGAGUGGCGAACGGGUGAGUAACACGUGAGUAACCUGCCCUUGACUUUGGGAUAACUUCAGGAAACUGGGGCUAAUACCGGAUAGGAGCUCCUGCUGCAUGGUGGGGGUUGGAAAGUUUCGGCGGUUGGGGAUGGACUCGCGGCUUAUCAGCUUGUUGGUGGGGUAGUGGCUUACCAAGGCUUUGACGGGUAGCCGGCCUGAGAGGGUGACCGGCCACAUUGGGACUGAGAUACGGCCCAGACUCCUACGGGAGGCAGCAGUGGGGAAUAUUGCACAAUGGGCGGAAGCCUGAUGCAGCAACGCCGCGUGCGGGAUGACUGCCUUCGGGUUGUAAACCGCUUUCGCCUGUGACGAAGCGUGAGUGACGGUAAUGGGUAAAGAAGCACCGGCUAACUACGUG